rnacentral:pre_miRNA from 18 species
AGGUGGGUUAGAUCCCAUAUCCUUCCGCUUGAUGGAAAUGAUAUGUAAUCUAGCUUACAG